rnacentral:rRNA from 1 species
UACAGAGGUCUAAAGCGUUGUUCGGAUUCAUUGGGCGUAAAGGGUGCGUAGGCGGCGCGGUAAGUCGGGUGUGAAAUCUUGGAGCUUAACUCCGAAACUGCAUUCGAUACUGCCGUGCUUGAGGACUGGAGAGGAGACUGGAAUUUACGGUGUAGCGGUGAAAUGCGUAGAUAUCGUAAGGAAGACCAGUGGCGAAGGCGGCGUGCUGGGUUGCAACUGACGCUGAGAUGCGAAAGUGUGGGGAGCAAACGGG